GCUCCGCAACGGGAGAGGCCACAGCAGUGAGAGGCCCGCGUACCGCAAAAAACAAACAAAACAAAACAAAAAACAAUAAAAAACCUGCCUUAAGCUAUGCUCUCCUGUAUAAUCCAUUUGUUAUUGAAUUAUAUUUCUUCUCUUCUCUGACUUAAGUAGCUUAUUAUAACUAGUUAUUUCAAAUCAUAAAAUAUUUUGUGUUUUUAUAUCGUAUUAACUUUAAACAGAUAUAUAUUAACUUCUGUCUUUUCUCAUUUUCUUGCAGUGAUUCCCUUUCUCCAUAACUGAAAAUAAAAAGCAAGUUACCAUCUUCAAUUUAGGUCUCCAAAUCUUGAUUAAUAUUGCAAGCAAUUAUUGGGACAGUCAUCUAAGUCAUAUACUAAUGCAAACAUGAGAACCUCUUUUUUUGUUAUAUAAUCAGAAUAACCUAUAAAUAAGUUCUGCUCUCUAUAUGGAAAUUAAAUUUACCUUCCUAAAUAAAAUGUACUUCUAUCUGGGAUUUUUCCCAGUGAAUAUAACAAAAGCCCUGUAAGUAGAAUUGGAAAAAACAUUUAAAUAUAUGUGUACUGGGACAUGAACUGAUGUCUUAUGAGAUUAGGUAACUAGUCCAUGGUCAAGUAACAAAGCACAAUUCACAUCCAACCUUUUAGCUCUAGAUGCUACCAAUACUGUGUAGUAUAUUUUCUGUCUCCCUCUCUUCCUCCUUCUUCAUGCCUUUCUUAUAUUUUUUCUUUCCUUCUUGUCUCCUCUAUCUCCUUUUAAAAAACAUUCAUUGGCUACUGUGGAGAUUUUUAAAGUAACAACAAAUUAAAAGAAUAUAAAGAGGCUCAUAUAUCUCUACAUAUGUAUCUCUAUAUACCACAACACAUCGUCAUUAAUAUUAGAAUGUCAAUUAGUUCUUCACACUAUCUCCAUCUGUGAGAUCAGAGGCAUAGAGAUAAUAGUAGAGGUUCUAUAAUGGGGAUGAGAUGGCAGUAAGAAAAGUGGGGGUAAGUAAACAAAUAAACAUUUCGUCCACUUUACAUUUUUCCUCGGCUUCCCAAGCACAUGCAUUCUGUUGCUGCAUGAAGAUUAUUUUACCACCAAACUGCAUUUGCAAAAAUACUUUUGAAAGGGUUAAAUACAGCCCUUUGCCAGUGAGUGAUUCCUGGGAAUUUUAAUAAGCCUGAGUUCCUGCAAUUCAGCAGAUAACAGUCACCAGGAUUGCUGUGCAUACAGAACUGCAUAGUGUCAUGUUUUCACGGCUGCACAGUUCUAGUAGAAAUUGCUCCUGGAAUGACCCAGCCUCAUAUGCGACAGAUCCAUGGGAUGUUGAAGGAGCCACUACAAUGCUGAGAUUCUUGCUGAACCCGUAACUUUCAGCUGAUUGUGAAACCAACUGAACUGGAAGGAUGACAGUCUGACUGAAGACUUGUCAGUCUCCAUCAAAUGGUUACCUGGGAUGACAAGUGUCCCUCUGAGAUGGAAGUUGUAUGUCCUCCAGCAUGCCAGAACUAUCGCUCCAUUUAGAGUCCCUGUGUGUGUAGGUAGUAGAAGAAUCACUUCAUCAUGCACACAGUGCAGAGUCACAAAUAAGGUCAUUUUGGUGCACAGCGUUCCAACGUCCAGAGUGAUUAACUCCACAUGCCAUGGCUGAGCGCUGGGACUGUGUUCAAGUGAGGAAAGAAAAUUUUGACAGAAGAAAUGGUGACAUGAUGAAUAUACAUGCAUGAAAAUUGGCUUAUUCAGCAUCCCUUGUAUAACAGUUGAGAAACAGACUAUUUGAAUUUUCCAGCAUUGUGAUUUUUGCCAACUGAGUACAGCGGAAGGAUGAAGAUUCAACAAAGAACACUGUCAAGGGAGUGACUGAAGUGGUGGAGAGUAAAAUCUAGGCUUCUAAGGCAAGGAAAAGUAAAUAGUGGAGAUUUAGAGACCCUUUUAAUAAACAGCUGUAUUUGAGGAAAAUCAUGUUAUAGAAAUUAAAGGAAAGAAGGCUGUGAUCAGAGAAGAAUACUUGAGUUUGGGAUUUUUGAGUUAAUGAAUCCUGAACAUUUUACUUAAAAUAGAGUUUGGUGAUUGAAUGCUGCCGUAUGUACAAAUGGUUAUUGUACAAUGCAAAAUAAAAUCUCAUACUGG